CUCUGUUCUAAAACUAGCGAAAGAAAUGACCCAUGUAUGCAAAAGGGGCGGCCCCUGUCCCCGCAGCAGUCCAGGACUGAGAGAAAAGAGGACAGGGCCUGGGGCACACUCUUAUGGGUGCCUGAAUAGGCGGAAAGACCCCCUGCAAUUCAUCAUUGCGGCAGAGUAAGGGCCCCCUUUCUGUUUGGAGUGAGAGCUCCUAUUUAUUUGAUUUCAUGUUGUACCCUGCACCCGUGUCCCUAAUCCACCUGUCCACAUGCCGCCACCCAGGCACCUCCAGGCCACCUCUGUUUGCACCAUCAGCCCUCACAGAUGUGAGGUGUCCACACUGGUAUGUCCUGGGAACCGCAGGCUGCAAGGUCUGUGCCAGCUGCCCCUUGAGGCUCUGGUCCCCCUGCUCCUGCAUGCCGAGGGCUGCAGUAAGUAGAGCCUGGCGGUGCUGGCACAGCCCCAUUCUGACCCCGGAACCCUGGGUAGGCCCCAUUGUGACAGGGUGCCUGGGGCAGAGAGCACUGAUGCCCUUCGUGUGCUUGUCUGACUUAAGAGGCCCAGAGAACCUCCUUGUGUAGGCAUGCUUCACCAUCGCGUUGGAUCCCAGAGUGGCCAUUCCCCACCGCCCUUCUCAUUUAGCCGGGGGCCUUCCUGGUUUUCGGUAGGACGCGUGAUUUUCCAUUGAAGCCCGACGUCUUCACAUCACAUGAGCACAGACAGAAAGGUUUGUUGGCCUUGUUUUACAAGUCUUACAGCUUUCGGGAUGCCCGGGUAGUUCAGCAGUGAAGUGUCUGCCUUUGGCUCGGGGCGUGAUCCCGAAGUUCCAGGAUGGAGUCCCACGUCAGGCUCCCUACAUGGGGCCUGCUUCUCCCUCUGCCUGUGUCUCUGCAUCCCUCUGUCUCUCUUUCUGUCUCUCAUGUUAUUCAAGAAUAUUCAUAAAUAAAAUCUUUAAAAAAGUCUUACGGCUUUCUAGGAAAUUGUUCGUUAGCGCUUCACUUUUUGCCCUUGGUUAUAAAACUAAGGGACCCAGUGCAGCGGUGCUAUGCCAGCAGGAGAAGGUAGGUGUUCGCUACCAGGGGCAAGGUUGCGGCGAUACCAAGCCUCUGCUCUGAGCAGGCGCGUGUGCUGCUGUCGACCACGGUGGCUCCUAUAACUAAAAUGCUGUGUUUGUGUAUGUUUGUGUGCCUGCUCCAAGAGUCAGGAGUCCAUCAAAGUGACUUUCCUC